rnacentral:rRNA from 1 species
UACGUAGGGAGCAAGCGUUGUCCGGAAUCAUUGGGCGUAAAGAGCGCGUAGGUGGCUUUAUAAGUCCGUUGUGAAAGUCAAAGGCUCAACCUUUGAAAGCCGAUGGAUACUGUGAAGCUAGAGUACGGAAGAGGCGAGUGGAAUCCUGGUGUAGCGGUGGAAUGCGCAGAGUAUCAGGAGGAACACCAAUAGCGAAGGCAGCUCGCUGGGA